rnacentral:tRNA from 1 species
ACCAAUGUAGCAUAGUGGUUUGAGCAAUGGACUAUGACUCUGGAGACCAGGGUUCGAAUCCCUGCUUGACC